rnacentral:rRNA from 1 species
UGGGGAAUCUUGCGCAAUGGGCGAAAGCCUGACGCAGCGACGCCGCGUGCGGGAAGAAGGCCUUCGGGUUGUAAACCGCUUUCAGGAGGGACGAAGCCACUCGGGUUAAUAGCCCAGAGGGUGACGGUACCUCCAGAAGAAGCCCCGGCUAACUACGUGCCAGCAGCCGCGGUAAUACGUAGGGGGCAAGCGUUGUCCGGAUUCAUUGGGCGUAAAGAGCGUGUAGGCGGCCAGGUAGGUCGGUUGUGAAAACUGGAGGCUCAACCUUCAGAGGUCGACCGAAACCAUCUGGCUAGAGUCCGGGAGAGGAGAGUGGAAUUCCUGGUGUAGCGGUGAAAUGCGCAGAUAUCAGGAAGAACACCCGUGGCGAAAGCGGCUCUCUGGAACGGUACUGACGCUGAGACGCGAAAGCGUGGGGAGCGAACA